rnacentral:rRNA from 1 species
AAUACCGGAUAUUAUGAGAUUCUCGCAUGGGAAACUUAUGAAAGCUAUAUGCGCCAAGAGAGAGCCUUGCGUUCCAUUAGCUAGUUGGUGGGGUAACGGCCCACCAAGGCGACGAUGGAUAGCCGGCCUGAGAGGGUGAACGGCCACAAGGGGACUGAGACACGGCCCUUACUCCUACGGGAGGCAGCAGUGGGGAAUAUUGGACAAUGGGCCACAAGCCUGAUCCAGCAAUUCUGUGUGCACGAUGAAGGUCUUCGGAUUGUAAAGUGCUUUCAGUUGGGAAGAAGAAAGUGACGGUACCAACAGAAGAAGCGACGGCUAAAUACGUGCCAGCAGCCGCGGUAAUACGUAUGUCGCAAGCGUUAUCCGGAUUUAUUGGGCGUAAAGCGCGUCUAGGCGGAAAAAUAAGUCUGAUGUUAAAAUGCGGGGCUCAACUCCGUAUUGCGUUGGAAACUGUUUUUCUAGAGUACUGGAGAGGUGGGCGGAACUACAAGUGUAGAGGUGAAAUUCGUAGAUAUUUGUAGGAAUGCCGAUGGAGAAGUCAGCUCACUGGACAGAUACUGACGCU